rnacentral:tRNA from 2 species
GCCGUGGUAGCGAAGCGGCCUAACGCGCCAGACUUGAGAUCUGGUUCUCUCACGAGAUCGGGAGUUCAAAUCUCCCCCACGGCG